CAGCUGGCAUGAAGGAAUGAGCCACAGUUGCAGCCAAAUCCCUACCAAUGAGAAAAUGCCUUGUCAGAAAUGACAAACAUUGUCAAUCCUUCUCAAGCAACCACUUCUUGCUGCAGCUCAGACAGCUCAUUUGAGGCAUCCUAGGAUUUUCAAGGAUGAGAACUACCCAGUCAUUGAAAACCUAUGGGACGAGUUUCUAUUUCAGCACAUGAGCAUAUUGUGGGCUAUCAUGUUAUGCCUUCAAGAAAUUAGGACACAGGCUAUUAGUAGGGCAAAGGUUAUAGAACCAGGACUCUGUCAGUUUCUCAGAAACUCAGUUCUAUGAAAUCUUCAAGAUGGAUAUGGAACAAAGUCACAGAACGAAAAUACCACUUUUGUUUCCUAACAUUUUUCAGUAUCAAAGGACUCUCAUCCCGGUAUUCAUCAGACUCAACCCUACUUAAUUUUGAAGACCAGUCAAGAAUAACAGAUUUGGAAGUGGACUGCCAUGGAAACCCUCCAUAAUGAACAGCCCCCUGCAUACUAAAGCAAAGGACAGAAAAAGUAACAUACUGAGUCCAGUACUAGCUCCUCUAUGAAUGAGUGGAAAUAUAGCCCUACAAAGAACACGGGGAAUGGAAGAUGGUUUUGAAUGGUUUGCUGAAAAAAAUGUCCUCAUGGGUUCCUUGAUUUCUGUUCCACACCUCACUUAGCAAAUACUAGGCUGGAUUAAGCAAGAGGGAGAUGCCAAAGAGGCCAUACUGGUUCUUUUCUUCUUAUGAUUUCAGCAUAAAGUUUAUGGCUGAUGAAUUGUGACAAGGGAUUGCUGGGAUACUGUUAGGCACAAGAAUGCUCAGCUGCUUAAAAAAAAAAAUAUUGUGCCUUUCCCUCCCUGCCAGGCACUUGGUUAUCCCUCUCUGAAAUAAUCAACUAAAUUUGCAAGGUUUGUUUACCAACAUCCCUCCUCCUUAGGAAAUAAAUGAGAUGAUGUCCUUCUUGUCUUUCCAAUAUGAGAUUCACUCUAGGAGGAGUUCUGCAGUUUUCCAGUUCUAUCACCAUCAUCUCCCUUUCCACAGAGAAUGAACAAACCCCAAAAUUGGGCAUUAGGACUUUCUAGUUCCAUUUCUGACAUAUUCUCUGGCAAGUUUAAGAGAGAAUAACCUCUACCUUAUUUGAGAUCUAGAAUUUUGUAAGUAUGAAAAGAGUUAAGUUUCAUCCAAAAAAGAAAAAAAAUAUAACUAUAGUGCUACACUGAAAAAGAUUCACUGGAGAUAGUGAUUUGCCCAGAUUUUGUCCUUAACCACAUUAUUUUUUGCCUGUCUUUCACCAGUAGCAAGCCAAGAAGCCUUUUUAAAAAUGGAAGAAUAUGACUGGAUUUUGUAAAAUCAUAAGUAGAAGGCAAAAUGGAUGGAUGAAUGAAAAUAGACAUUUUCCUGUCAAAGAGAAACUGGCUGAGCUGAAUGAAGGGAAUCAAAUAAGGAAUUAGUCUGGAAUCCCUACAUGGGCAUAAGAGGCAAAGUGUGACACCCCUUGAGUGCCAUUGAAGCUUAUCUAGUCUGACCUAGGUGCAAACUAUCAAACAGCUAAUUGACGUCUUUGCAUGUGGAUCUGUUUGUUUGCACCUAACAUUAUCUUCAAUGCAGGGACAUGCCCUUGUAAGAUUCCCUGUGCUGAAAAACAGCAAAAUAUUUUGCCCUAGCUGCCCUGGGCAAACAGAAAUGUUUGCAGUGAGCAAACUAAAUACAUUUGCCCUGUGAUACUGACUUAUCUUUUUCUGGGUAAUUCACUGUGAACCAGACAAAGCAACUUGAUUGCAAUUCAAACUCUAGCCUUUUCCAAAUCCUUUCUGAACUCCCAAGCAGUCCUUGUUUGACAAGGUUGAAAUAGCCAAGAACCUAAUAAUGAAUAAAGGACAGAUAUGUUUAUUUCACCUAAAUGUUUUUCUUGAAUCAGUAGCUUACUUUCAUAGACGUUUAAUAGAAUUAUAGUUUCUUACCAAAGUCUGCCUUAAUAACAGCUUGCAGUGACUGCUGACUUUUGCUUUAUGGAAUAUUCCCAAAUGGUUCUCAACAAUAAUGUUUUAACUGCACUCAUCUUCAAGAAGAACAGUUAGAGCAAGCUAGGUUAUCUUAUUAGAGAAUUUCAUUUGCCGAGUAAGGUGAAAGGUAAUGAUUGCCUCUUGUGCCGAGUUACGUGUAUAGAGAACAUGAGGGAAAUCAUUCUCAGAAGUUGAAAUUACUAGCUAAUCUACAACUUUAUAAAAAUACAAAUAAAUCCCAUAGCGCCUCUUGUUCAUGCAAAUUAAUAUUCAUGCAAUACAGAAAAGUGAUCCAAACAAAGGGAAAUAAUAGUUUGCAGAGAGCACUAAGAACCCAGCAGUACAACCUGCACUACAUAUAUUCUUUUGGAAGUAUACAAGUAGCAGCUUAUCUAGGGCAACAGUUGUUUUCAGUUUCUUAGAACCAGACAAGAUGGUCAAAAUAAUGAAAUAUAAAGAUGAAUCACUGAGUUAAGUUCAUAUUUCUCUCCUAAUGAAAGCAACUGGAACUAUGAAUUCAGUUUGUAGAUGCUGCAGUUUCUUGACCAAAAAUCUUACUUAAAAUAGAGCAAUUACAGAAUAGCAAGAAGUUAUUGAGACAAUAGUAGAGAAUUGUCUCAUCUUGCUGAUACUGGUUGAACCAGGAAAUAUAUUUUUCUCCUACCAAUAAUUAGUAGCCAUAAAAAACCUUAGUGAGGAUUUGCAAAGCUCCUUGCAAACAUCCUCAAAUCCUCUUAUUCAAAAUAUACACAAGCAUAUUUAAUACCUUCAAGUUACCAGAAAGAAAAUAUCUGCAGUAUCAAAAUACAGCUCAUAAGCAUGGGUAACUGCCAUUUCAUUCUCCUGAGUGCUAUUUCAGUGAAAGCAUAUUGCAAAGAUAACUUGUAUGGCUUGGUUUGGCGGCCUAACUUGGACAGACUUGUCCCUUUAAAGUUCUCAGUUGAUUCUAUGACAUGAAUUCAGGAGACCUGAGCACCAAUACCACAUUUGGACUAGGCAGUUUCUAAGCAAGGAUUGUGUACAGUUUUAUUUAAUGUUGAUAAAAAGAAGACUAUAUUUGUUCUCAUUAGAGAUUUUAAAAUAUAUAUAUAUAAGUUCUCCUUCCAGUCAAACUUGACUCCUGGUGACAAUGUAGAAAUGAAAAAUCUAUGCUAUUUUCUUGGCAACAAUGCAGAAGUAGAUUUCAUUAAUGUCUCGAAUUCUUUACUUCCCAAACCAGUAUACAACCCUGGGCUUUCUUAGUGGCUUUCUACCAUCAGUACUUAACCACUUCCAACCUGACAUAUGAAGAUUUUCAGUCAUCCAUUCAUGGUUGUCCCAAGGCUGCCUUUUAAGAAAGCACCUUUGGAACUUCCAGCCUACUCAGGUUUUUGUGUAGUAAGCCAAGAUGAGGUAAGUGCUGUUCCUAUUAAGUAAGCUGAAAUUCUUUAGAUUCUCAUUCCUGAACCUACAUACCAAACUCCAUACUAGAAAUACUGGGCAUGCAAUUUCUUCUCCAUUUAUACUUAUUUCUUAUUUAUUUUUAUUUUAUUUUUUAAAAGGAUUUCUUAGGGCUCAAUUUUUUGUGGUUUGUGAUUUGAGACCAGAUUUUGUAUCAUAGGAGUUUAGAACUAUCCAACAAUUAAGUGAAUUAAUUCUGCAACUGCAGAGUUUAUAUAGUUUCACUUGAAUUUAAUCAGUAUUGAAUUGAAUUUAUUCAGUAUUCAGUGCUAAAGAUACGGCUAUAAGAAUUAUGCCAUUUUAAAAAAAGUGCUGUGUAACAUGGUCACUCAUAAUUGAUAAUUGACUGAAAAUAAUGCUUUUGAAGAGUCAGAAAAUAAAAAAGCAAAUUUUCCUCUAUCACAGAGUGAGUCUAAGUAUAAUACUAUUUUCCCAGUAAAAUACUCCAAACUUUUGAUGAAAUAAACAAUAAUCCCUGAAAGUUUAUAGAGCAAUUUAGUCUUUAAGGUGCACCAAGAUUCUGUUGUGUUUUCCUUGGUUUUAAUUUAAAUUGUUUUUGCUCCACUCAUUUUCCCUGGGUGUAGUCAUUAAAGUAACCCUUCCCAAUCGGCAAAGGUACGAUGAAUAUAACACAAGUUGGCUGUAAAUGUAUAGGGAUUGAGGUCUUGUAAAGUUCGUGUGCAGCAAACUGCCUCAGUUCAAAUGCAUGAUCUCACCCCUUUCAUAUCGCCAUGGUGAUAUAGGGAAAUACCCCAGGCUGGUACAUGAUUUCACCUGGUUCACAUGAUCUCACCUCGUUCACACCAACAGGAUGUAGCAGAAAACUGCCCCUGGUUGGUGCCCCUGGCUGAGAUAUUCUUAAGGAUUGACAAGGAGAUUCUACCAAUAAAAAUGCCGUUGCUAUACUGUUGUUAUGUUACUUUAUGCUGCUUGGAAAACUGUAUAAGAGAAUAAAUACUACGAAGGCAGUAAGAUCA